CCGCGCAGCCGGGGAAUUAGCGGAGCCUUGUACCUGCAACCCGCUACAGCAGGGGUGAUAUUCCGUCUGAGGGCUGCCUUCUGUGGGGCUGCCCCUGGUAAGUGGCGUUGAAGCCUGGGUCUUGCGCAACGGAAAUCCAUGAACCGUGUCAGGUCAGGAAUGGAGCAGCACUAAGUGGAACCUUCCGUGUGCCGUGAGGUCGCCUGGGCAGAGUUAACUGCCAGGGUAACGCCUGUGGAAGCAGUUCGAAGCGGAAUGCGCGG
rnacentral:SRP_RNA from 1 species